rnacentral:rRNA from 1 species
AUGUCUUCGUCCUUAGGUGUAUUGGCUUGGAAUGUAAGGGGGCUUAAUAACCCUACCCGAAGGAGUUUGAUUAGGCUAUUCAUGCAAUCCCUCGAUGUUUCUCUAGUUUGCUUUCAAGAGUCCAAGUUAGCGCUGGUGAAUGAAUCUGUGGUUCGAGAGACUUUGGGACUGGGCUUUGAUGGUUUUGAUUUCUUGCCUGCUGAAGGUACCAGAGGAGGUAUUUUGUUGGCCUAG